GGUGGCUCAGAGGUAGAGUGAUUGCCUUGCAUGCAUGAGGUCCUGGGUUCGAUUCCCCAGCACCA
rnacentral:tRNA from 1 species